rnacentral:lncRNA from 10 species
GCAGGUGGAUGGCACGAGCCUAGAAUCACAGAGGGGCUGAAGAGUUGAUGAGUCCAGAGAGGACUGUUGGAGCCAGGAUCAGGGCAUGAAGGGCUUUAGGUGUCACGAUAUCUCAAGGGCAAUGGGAAGCCAGUGAAGAGUUUGAAGCCAUGGAAUAAUACAAUCAUAUUCGUGGUUUAGAGAGAUUUCCCCGGCUGCCCCUUGGCAGUGUGGAGAGGAAAACUGGAGGCAUGGUGCUGUAGUCCAGGUGAGAAAUGAGUGUUGUUCUUUAAUGCAGUAGCAUAGAUGGAGAGAAGUAGACAUAUUUGAACAAUGGAAAGAGAAAAAAAAUCAAAAGAUUACCUGAGUGAUUGACCAUGGCUGGCGGAGAUGGAAGAGACAAGGACCAGACCUUGGUUUCUGACUUGGUAGAUGACAGUACCUUUUAUUUAAAGGUAACAU